GCGGGAGUAGCAUAGUGGUAAUGCCCCGGCCUUCCAAGCCGGUCACGCGGGUCCGAUUCCCGUCUCCCGCU
rnacentral:tRNA from 1 species